AUGAACGCUAGCGGGAGGCCUAACACAUGCAAGCCGAGCGGCAGAGAUCUUUCGGGAUCUUGAGAGCGGCGUACGGGUGCGGAACACGUGUGCAACCUGCCUUUAUCUGGGAGAUAGCCUUUCGAAAGGAAGAUUAAUACCCCAUAAUAUAUGAUUCGGCAUCGGAUUCUAUUGAAAGCUCCGGCGGAUAGAGAUGGGCACGCGCAAGAUUAGAUAGUUGGUGAGGUAACGGCUCACCAGGUCAGUGAUCUUUAGGGGGCCUGAGAGGGUGAUCCCCCACACUGGUACUGAGACACGGACCAGACUCCUACGGGAGGCAGCAGUGAGGAAUAUUGGACAAUGGGUGAAAGCCUGAUCCAGCCAUCCCGCGUGAAGGACGACGGCCCUAUGGGUUGUAAACUUCUUUUGUAUAGGGAUAAACCUACCCUCGUGAGGGUAGCUGAAGGUACUAUACGAAUAAGCACCGGCUAACUCCGUGCCAGCCGCCGCCGUAA
rnacentral:rRNA from 1 species